rnacentral:rRNA from 1 species
UACGUAGGAGGCAAGCGUUGUCCGGAAUUACUGGGCGUAAAGCGCGUGUAGGUGGUGGGACAAGUCUGCUGUGAAAGCGCCUGGCUUAACCGGGCGAGGUCGGCGGAAACUGUUCGACUCGAGGACGGUAGAGGGGGGUGGAAUUCCCGGUGUAGUGGUGAAUGCGUAGAGAUCGGGAGGAACACCUGUGGCGAAGGCGGCCCCCCUGGGCCGG